rnacentral:rRNA from 1 species
CCUACGGGAGGCAGCAGUGGGGAAUAUUGCACAAUGGGCGCAAGCCUGAUCCAGCCAUGCCGCGUGAGUGAUGAAGGCCCUAGGGUUGUAAAGCUCUUUCACCGGUGAAGAUAAUGACGGUAACCGGAGAAGAAGCCCCGGCUAACUUCGUGCCAGCAGCCGCGGUAAU